rnacentral:tRNA from 1 species
GGGGAGAUAGCUCAGUGGUAAAGCACUUGUCUAGCAUACAAGAGGCCCUGGGUUCAAUACCCAGCACCA